GAGACACCCUUAUGGGGCAGGACUUGCUUCAGCGGGGCUUUGGUGCUCACUGAGUCUGCCCCUUGAGUGUGUCCCU
rfam:Myotis lucifugus cont2.47301, whole genome shotgun sequence.